GGCCACCUAGCUCAAUUGGAUAGAGCGUCAGACUCUUACAGGUUAUUUCUGAAGGUUGUCAGUUCUGCAGGUUGCGAGUUCAAUCCUCGCGGUGGCCC
rfam:Moniliophthora roreri strain MCA 2952 kmer90.95972, whole genome shotgun sequence.